GGGUGAUUAGCUCAGUUGGUAGAGUAUCUCCCUUACAAGGAGGAGGUCGGCGGUUCAAUUCCGUCAUCACCCA
rnacentral:tRNA from 1 species